rnacentral:rRNA from 1 species
GGGCUGCAGUAUAUUGACUGUACAAAGGUAGCAUAAUCAUUAGUCAUUUAAUUGGUGACUUGUAUGAAAGAUUGGAUGAAAUAUAGACUGUCUCUUUAUUAUUUAUAGAAUUUAAUUUUUUAAUCAAAAAGUUAAAAUAAUUUAAAAAGACGAGAAGACCCUAUAGAGUUUUAUAUUUAAAUUAAUUGAGAUUAUUUAUAAAAUUUUUAAUUAAAAUUAUUUUAAUUAUUUUGUUGGGGUGACAAAAAAAUAAAAAUAACUUUUUUUAAAUUUUAACAUAUAUAAUUGAUUUUAUGAUCCAUUAUUAAUGAUUAUAAGAAAAAAUUACCUUAGGGAUAACAGCGUAAUUUUUUUUUUUAGUUCGAAUAAAAAAAAGAGUUUGCGACCUCGAUGUUGGAUUAAGAUAAAAUUUAAAUGUAGAAG